GAUGAAGAACGUAGUGAAAUGCGAUAAGUAAUGUGAAUUGCAGAAUUCAGUGAAUCAUCGAAUCUUUGAACGCACCUUGCGCCCUUUGGCCAUUCCGAAGGGCAUGCCUGUUUGAGUACCAUGAACACCUCAACUCUCAUGGCUCGCCAUGAUGAGCUUGGAUUUGGGGGUCUUGCUGGCCUGUGGUCGGCUCCUCUCAAAUGGAUCAGCUUGCCAGUGUUUGGUGGCAUCACAGGUGUGAUAACUAUCUGCGCUUGUGGUUUUCCAUCAGAUAACCUUCAGUGAUGGAGGUUCGCUGGAGCUCAUAAACGUCUCCCCUAAGCGGGGACAGCCCUUUGAAUGUUUGAUCUCAAAUCAGGUAGGACUACCCGCUGAACUUAAGCAUAUCAAUAAGCGGAGGA
rnacentral:misc_RNA from 1 species